rnacentral:rRNA from 1 species
AGUGAACGCUGGCGGUAGGCCUAACACAUGCAAGUCGAACGGCAGCACAGUAAGAGCUUGCUCUUACGGGUGGCGAGUGGCGGACGGUUGAGGAAUACAUCGGAAUCUACUUUUUCGUGGGGGAUAACGUAGGGAAACUUACGCUAAUACCGCAUACGACCUACGGGUGAAAGCAGGGGAUCUUCGGACCUUGCGCGAUUGAAUGAGCCGAUGUCGGAUUAGCUAGUUGGCGGGGUAAAGGCCCACCAAGGCGACGAUCCGUAGCUGGUCUGGGAGGAUGAUCAGCCACACUGGAACUGAGACACGGUCCAGACUCCUACGGGAGGCAGCAGUGGGGAAUAUUGGACAAUGGGCGCAAGCCUGAUCCAGCCAUACCGCGUGAGUGAAGAAGGCCUUCGGGUUGUAAAGCCCUGUUGUUGGGAAAGAAAAGCAGCAGGUUAAUACCCCGCUGUUCUGACGGUACCCAAAGAAUAAGCACCGGCUAACUUCGUG